rnacentral:tRNA from 1 species
AGGGUGUAGCUUAGUGGUAGAGCCCUGGCCUUGCACGUGUGAGGCACUGGGUUCAAUCCCUCAGCAUCACCUA